AAGAUUCUAGCUUAAUUAAAGUACUUGAGUUGCAUUCAUGAGAUGUAGGUUAAUGUCCUACGGGUCUUA
rnacentral:tRNA from 1 species